rnacentral:rRNA from 1 species
CCUACGAGGGACUGCAGUGGGGGAUAUUGUACAAUGGGGGGAACCCUGAUGCAGCGACGCCGCGUGGGUGAAGAAGCGCCUCGGCGCGUAAAGCCCUGUCAGCAGGGAAGAAAAUGACGGUACCUGAAGAAUAAGCCCCGUCUAACUACGUGCCAGCAGCCGCGGUAAUACGUAGGGGGCAAUCGUUAUCCGGAUUUACUGGGUGUAAAGGGGGCGCAGACGGCGAUGCAAGCCAGGAGUGAAAGCCCGGGGCCCAACCCCGGGACUGCUCUUGGAACUGCGUGGCUGGAGUGCAGGAGGGGCAGGCGGAAUGCCUGGUGGAGCGGGGAAAUGCGUAGAUAUCAGGAGGAACACCGGUGGCGAAGGCGGCCUGUUGGACUGCAACUGACGUUGAGGCCCGAAAGCGUGGGGAGCAAACAGGAUUAGAUACCCUUGUAGUC